CAGACGAAUCCAAUGAACAAGGCUAUUCUUUCCAAUUGGGAAUUGAGGAUCCGCAUCUCCGUUAAUCUGAUCCUUAAAAAUACUGAAAAAACAAUUAAAAACCAAGAAACAAAAAUCAAUUUUCAAUUUAAGCAUAAUACUAGUUAUAAUACAAAACAGAAACUGAAAUUAAUAAUCAUAAUAAUUUAAAAAUUAACCACCUUCGAACUCUUCAUCUUCGAAAUGGAGUUCCUCAGAAUGUUGAUCUUCAAAAUGUUGAUCCAUAACGAAAGUUACUGGAAGGAGAAGGAGAAAAACUGAAAUGGGGUAAGAAAGGAAAAGGAGAAAGACUAAAAUUGGGGAAGAAAUGAAAGCACGG
rnacentral:lncRNA from 1 species